rnacentral:lncRNA from 1 species
GUGUGGGUACUUGGAUCACAUCUCUGCUUAUGCCUUCCAAGUAGCACCCUCAACAGAAUGGUUCUGCCACAAAACUUUGACCAAGGGAACUUCUUUGUUCCUAAGUAUACGGAUCUGGAAAUCUUGGAUCUCAACACGAAUCUCAUCGAAGGAAAGACUGUUCUGAAUAUCUACAUUCUCUGAAGAAAUCUACAACAAUAGAAUUACCAAUAUGCUUCUUAAGCAUAGAGACAAGAAAAAUAGGAUGAACGGCUGAC